rnacentral:rRNA from 1 species
AGAGUUUGAUCAUGGCUCAGAACGAACGCUGGCAGCGUGCUUAACACAUGCAAGUCGAACGAGAAGAGCGGGGCAACUCGCUUUGUAAAGUGGCGCACGGGUGAGUAACACGUAAGUAAUCUACCUAUACGUGAGGAAUAACUUCGGGAAACUGAGGCUAAUACCUCAUAGUAUUUCAUAUCUUUGGAUGUGAAAUGUAAAGGAGCUACCGCAAGGUAGUUUUCGCGGAUGGAUGAGCUUGCGCACCAUUAGCUUGUUGGUGGGGUAAUGGCCUACCAAGGCAAAGAUGGUUAGCUGGUCUGAGAGGAUGACCAGCCACACUGGAACUGAAACACGGUCCAGACUCCUACGGGAGGCAGCAGUGGGGAGUAUUGCACAAUGGGGGAAACCCUGAUGCAGCGACGCUGCGUGAGUGAUGAAGGCCUUCGGGUCGUAAAGCUCUGUCAAGAGGGAAGAAUACCCUGCGAAUGCAGGGGGAGACGGUACCUCUAAAGGAAGCACCGGCUAACUCCGUGCCAGCAGCCGCGGUAAUACGGAGGGUGCAAGCGUUGUUCGGAAUUAUUGGGCGUAAAGCGCAUGUAGGCGGUUAUUUAAGUUGAAUGUGAAAUCCCUAAGCUCAACUUAGGAAUUGCAUCCAAAACUGGAUAACUCGAGUACGAGAGAGGAAAGUGGAAUUCCCAGUGUAGAGGUGAAAUCCGUAGAUAUUGGGAAGAACACCAGAGGCGAAAGCGGCUUUCUGGAUCGAUACUGACGCUCAGAUGCGACAGCGUGGGGAGCAAACAGGAUUAGAUACCCUGGUAGUCCACGCCGUAAACGAUGGAUACUAGAUGUGGCAUGUUUUUAAUACGUGCUGUGUCGUAGCUAACGUGUUAAGUAUCCCGCCUGGGGAUUACGGUCGCAAGACUAAAACUCAAAGGAAUUGACGGGGGCCCGCACAAGCGGUGGAGUAUGUGGUUCAAUUCGAAGCAACGCGAAGAACCUUACCUGGUCUUGACAUCAUCUGGACAGCUCUAGAGAUAGAGUCUUUUCUUCGGAAACCGGAUGACAGGUGCUGCAUGGCUGUCGUCAGCUCGUGUCGUGAGAUGUUGGGUUAAGUCCCGCAACGAGCGCGACCCUUGCCUUUAGUUGCUACCAGGUUAAGCUGAGCACUCUAGAGGGACUGCCUCGGUCAACGAGGAGGAAGGUGGGGAUGACGUCAAGUCCUCAUGGCCUUUAUGACCAGGGCCACACACGUACUACAAUGGCCAGUACAAAGAGUCGCAAAACCGAAAGGUUAAGCUAAUCUCGCAAAAACUGGCCUCAGUUCAGAUUGAAGUCUGCAACUCGACUUCAUGAAGUUGGAAUCGCUAGUAAUCGUGGAUCAGCAUGCCACGGUGAAUACGUUCCCGGGCCUUGUACACACCGCCCGUCACACCACGAAAGUCGAUUGAGCCCAAAGUCUUAUCGUCAGAUAAGCCUAAGGUUUGGUUGAUGAUUGGGGUGAAGUCGUAACAAGGUA